rnacentral:rRNA from 1 species
UGGGGAAUUUUGGACAAUGGGCGCAAGCCUGAUCCAGCAAUGCCGCGUGCAGGAUGAAGGCCUUCGGGUUGUAAACUGUUUUUGUACGGAACGAAAAAGCUCUCUCUAAUACAGGGGGUGAAUGACGGUACCGUAAGAAUAAGCACCGGCUAACUACGUGCCAGCAGCCGCGGUAAUACGUAGGGUGCAAGCGUUAAUCGGAAUUACUGGGCGUAAAGCGUGCGCAGGCGGUUUUGUAAGACAGAGGUGAAAUCCCCGGGCUCAACCUGGGAACUGCCUUUGUGACUGCAAAGCUGGAGUGCGGCAGAGGGGGAUGGAAUUCCGCGUGUAGCAGUGAAAUGCGUAGAUAUGCGGAGGAACACCGAUGGCGAAGGCAAUCCCCUGGGCCUGCACUGACGCUCAUGCACGAAAGCGUGGGGAGCAAACA